AUGUAUAGCCAGUAGUGGAUUUGCAUAUUUUAUCGACUUUAAUGCCAUAUUGUGACAAUUUUGAUAAGAUAUAUUGUUUGAAAAGCAGUCUAAAUUUAAAUUUCAUAAGGGAAAUGCAAAUGUUUGGUAUCGCAUAUAAUUUGGGAAAAAAUUGUCACAAAUAAGAUGAAAAAGAGGGCCGAAUUUUGAAGAGGCUCUCUAACAAUGGAUACACUGCAUUACUGUUAAAAUUGAGAAAUUGGCAGUGUGGAGCUAGCGUGACC